rnacentral:misc_RNA from 1 species
AUAACUUCAAUAAAUUAAACUUUGCCAUGAACACCAUGGCUUCUAAAUUUGGGAAAGUCAAUAAUAAUUUUGAGAGUCAUUUUACAUUUUCUCACUUAUCAGAUCUCCUCGAUCUCCAAAACCAUGCAUAUAAUUGGAUUAUACCUCAUGGUGGUGACAGCACCAGGGAAACGGUCACUUCAAAAAUUAGCGGAAAAAAUUAUCUGGAAAGGCUAUUUCAAUCUUCAAGCUCGAUAAUCUUGACCACAGAUGCAUCCCCAACCUUCUGACAAACAACAACUCGGUCAUGUGACUUAAUUACUCCAGAUGCUUUGCCAUGGUCCAGAGCAACCUUUAGAACCGACUCAUUUGUUGCACUAGUAGAUUCCGCAGGAUGUCGUGGAUCAGCAAGCAUAGGGAAGAGGCCUCUUACUAUCAAUGACUGCCUAGCCUCAAAUGCCCCAGUAAAGCUCCACCUUAACUGAUUUGUCUUCAGCCUAGGAAUGACAACGGAUAUAACUGGCAUUGUGGGCCUAUAUUUAGCAAUUAAUCUUGCAGCUCUUCCAGAUGAAGUGAAGCAAAUAAUAACCGAAGCCUUCACCUUAAUGGCAGCCCUAACCGCUGAGGAAGCAAUGGAUUCCAAGUGCGUCAUAGGUUCCCCAACAAAUUUGACAGUCUUCUUGAAAUACAUGUCUUGAUUAAAAACCUUUUCUGCCUCAGCACAAAUUUUACCAACAGUAGAAAUGGUUUCAACAGGGUACAGUCCACGAAGAGUCUCAGCACCAAGAAGAAUUGCAUCACUUCC